rnacentral:rRNA from 1 species
GACGAACGCUGGCGGCGUGCUUAACACAUGCAAGUCGAACGGAAAGGCCCUGCUUUUGUGGGGUGCUCGAGUGGCGAACGGGUGAGUAACACGUGAGUAACCUGCCCUUGACUUUGGGAUAACUUCAGGAAACUGGGGUUAAUACCGGAUAGGAGCUCCUGCUGCAUGGUGGGGGUUGGAAAGUUUCGGCGGUUGGGGAUGGACUCGCGGCUUAGCAGCUUGUUGGUGGGGUAGUGGCUUACCAAGGCUUUGACGGGUAGCCGGCCUGAGGGGGUGACCGGCCCCAUUGGGUCUGGGAGGCGGCCGACGCCCAUUCGGGGGGAAGGAAGGGGUAUUUUUGCAGCAGGGGCGGGCGCAUGAAGCAGCCACCCCGGUCGUGGGAUGGUGGUCUUCGGUUUGUACGCCGUUUUCGCUUGUCAGGAAGGUUAGUGGCGGUAACUGGGUAAAAAGGCACCGCUAACUACGUG